UACGUAGGGACCAAGCGUUGUCCGGAAUCAUUGGGCGUAAAGAGCGUGUAGGCGGCUUGUUAAGUCUUGCGUGAAAUCUCGGGGCUCAACCCCGAGCGGUCGUGAGAAACUGGCAGGCUAGAGUGCGGGAGAGGAGAGUGGAAUUCCUGGUGUAGCGGUGAAAUGCGCAGAUAUCAGGAAGAACACCCGUGGCGAAGGCGGCUUUCUGGCUCGCAACUGACGCUGAGGCGCGAAAGCGUGGGGAGCAAACAGG
rnacentral:rRNA from 1 species